rnacentral:rRNA from 1 species
UACGUAGGGAGCAAGCGUUGUUCGGAUUUACUGGGCGUAAAGGGCGCGUAGGCGGCAAAUUAAGUCAGCUGUGAAAUCUCCGAGCUUAACUCGGAACGGUCAGCUGAUACUGAUCUGCUAGAGUGCGGAAGGGGCAAUCGGAAUUCUUGGUGUAGCGGUGAAAUGCGUAGAUAUCAAGAGGAACACCGGUGGCGAAGGCGGGUCUCUGGGCAGUAACUGACGCUGAGGAGCGAAAGCGUGGGGAGCGAACAGG